AAUUUUUUUUUAUAAUUCUUUAUUUGGUAUUUCUUCAUCUCAUACAAUAUCUAUAUGCAUUUUUUUUUAUAAAGAAGAAUACAAUACAAGUUUAUUCAUUUUGACCUGUCAGUGUCAGUGCUUAUAAACAUCCCCCUCCCUAUACCAAAUAACCCCCCCCCCCCCCCCCCCAAAAAAAAAUACAAAAAACUAAACUAAAAACAAACAAAAAAGAGAACAAUACAAAAACAAAAAGUACAAAAAACAAACAAACAAAAAAUAAAUAAAAUAAAAUAAAAUAAAUAUAAAAAAUCAUUGACUUAUAUUCAUAAAUGAUUAAAUUGGUAUUAAACGAUUAUAAUUAUUAUUUAUGCAAUCUAAUCAUUCUAUUCAUACAUGUACUCAUAUCAUAAUAUAUAUAGUGGCAUACUCUAACAAUAUCUGGAAAUCACAUAACAAAAAACAAAAACCAACCAGUAUUUCAACUCAUAUUAUCAUAACAUAGUAACACAUAUUUAAUUCUUCCAUACAUACAUAUAUAUAAUAUCUAUUUGAUGCACACUAACCACUGUCCAAUUGUGAUGUGCAUCAAGUUGUGUUACACAUUUAUUUUCAGUUAAGUAUGAGUUAUCUUUCUUGUAUCAUAAAAUUAGUUGUUGAAAUGGUUCCCAUUUUUUUUCUAUUUUUUCACCUAUUGCAGGAGAACUGUGAAAAGUGGAAGAUAGUUUUUCAACAAUGUAAUAAUUUUUUCAAUUUCUUUAGUGCAAUCUUAACACAAGGUAACAGUGAGUUCAAUCUACAAGAAUAAAUAUAGUACUUCAUGAGAACAGUGAAAAAAUUUCCUGA
rnacentral:lncRNA from 1 species